AGCGAACGCUGGCGGCAGGCCUAACACAUGCAAGUCGAACGAAGUCUUCGGACUUAGUGGCGGACGGGUGAGUAACACGUGGGAACGUACCUUUUGGUUCGGAACAACUCAGGGAAACUUGAGCUAAUACCGGAUGAGCCCUUAGGGGGAAAGAUUUAUCGCCGAAAGAGCGGCCCGCGUUAGAUUAGCUAGUUGGUGAGGUAAAGGCUCACCAAGGCUACGAUCUAUAGCUGGUCUGAGAGGAUGAUCAGCCACACUGGGACUGAGACACGGCCCAGACUCCUACGGGAGGCAGCAGUGGGGAAUCUAGCGCAAUGGGCGAAAGCCUGACGCAGCCAUGCCGUGUGAAUGGUGAAGGUCUUAGGAUUGUAAAAUUCUUUUACCAGGGACGAUAAUGACGGUACCUGGAGAAAAAGCCCCGGCUAACUUCGUGCCAGCCGCCGCCGUAAAAC
rnacentral:rRNA from 1 species